AGAUCGUCCUCUUCUCCCUGCAGUGGCAUGGCGUUCGAGAGAUUCACCGACGAUCUCCUCGUGGAGAUCCUCUCGCGCGUCCUCGCUAUGUCGCUCUGCCGCCUCAAUGCCACCUCCGGGGAGUUGCUUACGGUUUCAUCUUUUCGCUUCACCAGUCUCUCGAGGGGAUGCCGCGCUCCUCUCAUAGACACGUCUUUCACCUUCCUGCCCAACCACCAGCGCGUCGAUCUUUUAGACUACUGCAGCGGCCUCCUCCUCUGCCGCUGGCACGCAGCCGGGUCCGACGAAUGCCGUUACAUCGUGUGCAAUCCCGCGAGAAAGGAGUGGGUCAUGCUACCUGAACCCAGCAAGGCCGAGGAUGUGAGCACUGUGCUCGGAUCUCACUCGUCGACGGCACGUUUGGGCUUCACUCCGGGCAUUUCUUCGCAUUUCCAUGUGUUUUUGUUGGUGGAGGAGCAGGAUCAAUGGAACCCAGACCUCUCCGGAGUGGCAGUGUAUUCGUCUGAAACCGGAGAAUGGGUUUAUAAGGAGAACAGAUGGAACAAGCGUAUCAAGGUCAUUGAGCUUCAGUUAUCUUCUGCCUUUCUUAACGGCUAUCUGCAUAUCCAAGCUGAUGGCCAGGACUUAACCACUUGUCUAGCUGUGGUGGAUACGGAUGUGGAAACAUGGAUGAACUUCAGUGUCCCUGGUGGUCUGGUUAACGGUUUUAUUCAACAGUCACAAGGCCGCUUGCAUUAUGCCAAUUUUCAGAGAGAUGAAGACCGUGGUGUCUUUCGACUAGUGGUUUAUGUUCUCGAGAACUACCAAAGCAAAGAAUGGAUAUUGAAGCAUAGCGUUGAAACUUCAUGCAUACUUGGAAGGACAGAUUACUGCAUUGAUGAGUUUGAUUGGAUUGCGAUUCAUCCGGAAUGCAACUUGAUAUUCUUCACCCUUGGGCUGGAUCUCAAACUCAUGUGCUAUAAUAUGGAUCGUCGGCAAGUCAAAGUGAUCUGCAAUCUUGAAGGUGUGAAGCCGCCAUAUCUGCCAUAUGUGCCGUUGUAUGCCGAGUUAGAGGCAUUGCACAUUUGA
rnacentral:rRNA from 1 species